AACUGGGAUUAGAUACCCCACUAUGCUUAGCCUUAAACAUUGACAGUUUAUCACAUUUCCUGUCCGCCUGGGAACUACGAGCAUUAGCUUAAAACCCAAAGGACUUGGCGGUGCUUUAGACCCACCUAGAGGAGCCUGUUCUA
rnacentral:rRNA from 1 species